CGACCUACACGCAGAGGCAGGGCCAAAUCCAAAGCUGAGCCCCGGGAGCUGUGAGAACAAAGAAGAGAAAGGGAAAUCUCUCCCAGCAGCCUCAGAAGCAGCGGAUUAAAGCUCCACAAUCAACUUGAUGUGCCCUGCAUCUGUGGAAUACCUGAAUAGACAACGAGUCAUCCCAAAUUGAGGAGGUGGACUUUGAGAGCAAGAUUUAUGAUUUUUUCCCCUUUUCCUCUUUUUGUGAGUGUGUAUGUGUAUGCUUCUGUGUGAGAUUUUGUCUGUAUAGCUUUGCUUUCACCAUUUGUCCUAGGGUUCUAUCCGUCUGUCUUUUUUUUUUUUAAA